UACAGAGGGUGCAAGCGUUAAUCGGAAUGACUGGGCGUAAAGGGUGCGUAGGUGGCUUUAUAAGUUAGUUGUGAAAUCCCCGGGCUUAACCUGGGAACUGCAGCUGAUACUGUAUCGCUAGAGUAGAGUAGAGGAAAGUAGAAUUUCCGGUGUAGCGGUGAAAUGCGUAGAUAUCGGAAGGAAUACCAGUGGCGAAGGCGGCUUUCUGGACUCAUACUGACACUGAGGCACGAAAGCGUGGGGAGCAAACAGG
rnacentral:rRNA from 1 species